rnacentral:tRNA from 5 species
GAUCCGGUAGCUCAGUUGGUAGAGCAACUGCCUUUUAAGCCGUGGGUCGAGGGUUCGAGUCCCUCCCGGAUCA